rnacentral:rRNA from 1 species
GAGUAACGCGUGGAUAACGUACCCUAUGGUUGGGGAUAACCCACCGAAAGGUGAGCUAAUACCGAAUGUGUUCCAUAGAAGUUAGCUUUUUUGGAAGAAAGCGGGGCAACCCGCGCCAAAGGAUCGGUCCGCGUUCCAUCAGCUUGUUGGUAGGGUAAUGGCCUACCAAGGCUACGACGGAUAGCUGGUCUGAGAGGAUGAUCAGCCACACUGGGACUGAGACACGGCCCAG